rnacentral:tRNA from 1 species
GGGGCUGUGGCGAAACCGGCAUACGCAGGUGACUUAAAAUCAUCCGCUCGAAAGAGCUUGUGGGUUCGAGUCCCACCAGCCCCA